UGUUAAACCAUCAUUUUGUGCUAGUGAAUUCCAUCCAUUACAGAAAAUAUACAUCAAUCUCAUCCAAAAUGGCAGAAAGCCUAUCCUCAAGUGAUUUGGUUGAAGACUAUGCUUUGAGGGUUUCAAUUUCAAGCAACAAAGGCUUUACACGUGCUCUAAAGAGGACUGCUUGUAUUGCCAGAGAAGGGUAUGCCCUUCAUGAUUUGGGUUUAAAGAUUCAAAGUCUCAGAACUAGGAUCUCUAAUCUCACCAAAAAUUUUGGCCGGUAUGUAAAUUUAAUUGCCAGAACGGAGGAAGGAGAGUGGAGUGCUCCAUCCAGGCAGCAACCAUUAGGGCAGACUUACCCCUUUGUAGCUGAGGAGGAUGUGGUUGGACUGCGUAAUGAUGUUGAGGGGCUGGUUGAACAUUUGCUGAAAGAGGGUGAAAGUACAGAGCGCAAAAUAAGUGUGGCUUCGAUUGUCGGCAUGGGAGGUAUAGGCAAAACCACUCUUGCUAGAAAGGUAUAUCACCAUGAGAAAUUGAAGCAGUAUAUUAAAGGUUUUGCGUGGGUUUGUGUAUCACAACAAUGGCAACCAAAAGCUCUCUUGCGAGGCAUUCUACUCAACCUUACUCCUGAGCUCACUCCUGAAAACAGAAAACAGAUAAUGAAGAGCGAACGAGAUGAGCUAGCAAAGCUACUUCAAGAGCACUUGGGAGCUAGGAGAUGUUUGAUAGUCCUCGACGACAUCUGGACAACAGAUGCUUGGGAUAGGCUAAAAGAUGCAAUCCCAGUUUCGGAGCAUGGAACCAAAAUUUUGCUCACAACUCGUAUUAGAGACGUGGCGGUACAAGUUGAUCCAGAUGGUUAUUGCCAUGAACUGCGUCUUUUGAAACCGGAAGAAAGUUGGGAGUUGCUACGAAAGAAAUCGGAGUUGUUACGCGUGAAAUCAUUGAGGGAGAGAAGAGGUGAAGGUUGUGAAGAUUUCGGCAAGAUGGAAGUGUUAGGGAAGGAAAUGUUGAAAUAUUGUGGGAAUCUUCCAUUGGCCGUGGUGGUUUUGGGUGGAAUUCUUAGAACUAAACCCUGGGAGGAAUGGAAUGAAGUGCAUAAGAAUAUCAAAUCUUAUUUGGAUAAAGGAGGAAAAAUUGGAAAAGAAGGAGAGGUGCCAAGGAUUUUAGCUUACAGUUACUAUGACCUCCCUUGGCAACUAAAAUCAUGCUUCCUUUACUUGGGUAAAUUCAAGGAGGAUUAUGACAUUGGAGUAGUGAGUUUAUAUCAGAUGUGGAUAGGAGAAGGUAUGAUAUUUGAUAAUGAUAGAAGAGAGAAUGAAACGAUGUUGGAAGUUGCAGAGCGUUACUUGGAAGACUUAGCAAACAGAUGCAUGGUUGAGAUUAAAGUACAUGAGGAGGGGAAGCGUGCGGUGACAAGGUUGAAGUCAUGUCAGCUUCAUGAUCUUACGAGAGAUCUGUGCUUAGCCAAGGCAAAAGAGGAGAAUUUGUAUAAACUGGUCGAUCGCAGUCCUUCACCUCCUGCAGAUGAAGCGUAGUAUGGUUUAGUCUUUCGUUUGCUUCCAAAGGAUAUCUCUCAAUACAACUUUCCGCCAAAAGAACAAACUAAGCAUCUUCGCUCAUUCAUGUGUGAUACAUUGGUAGACUAUUCUCAAGUCAAGAAUUUGAAGAUGCUCAGGGUUUUGGCCUCCCAAAGUUGUUAUCCCAAAUUACCUCUGGGAUAUGUCGGUAAGCUUAUCCAUUUGAGAUGUUUGAGAUUGAGAGGUCAGAGUAUAAACUUACCAUAUUCCUUGGGCAAUUUAAAGUACUUGGAAACUCUCGAUUUAUCUGAUAGUGAUGUUGGUAAAAUACCGAACGUGCUAUGGAAAUUGAAACGUUUGAAAUAUCUUUAUCUUCCGGACCUGCAAGAGAGAUGGGAACCUUUGAAAUAUCCUGAUUUUCUGGACCUGCAAGAGAGAUUGGAACGUUUGAAAUAUCUUUGUCUUCGGAACCUCUGGUGGCCCCCUCAGUGUUGUAAGCUACGGUUGAGCGAGCAGUUGGAGAUACUUGAAUCAUUCGAUAACGUAUUUUGCUAUCCAAAAGAUUUAUGCAAAAUGUUGAAUCUCAGAUCUUUCAAAGCAAACGUGUAUAAAAAUCUCGAGGACCUGGAACACAUCAUCAAUCAUAUAUCAAACUUGGACUGCUUGUGCAUCAGCUCACUUACAAUCAAUGACUUUGAUUUUGGCAGCAACAGGGGUUUGGAUGUUCUUUCAAGGGUGUUGUUUAGUAGGAAAAUUCAUGAAUUAGUGAUCGACGAUGGUAUAUGCAAGAAGUUACCGGAUUACCAAUCCCAUAUGUUUCCUGACCCUGCAGGACUUACUCAAUUAAAGCUGCGUUAUACUAGAAUUAAGGAAGACCCAAUGGGAACACUCGAGAAGCUUCCUAACUUAAGAAUACUGGAAGUUGGGUCAUUUUCUUUUCUGGGCCAAAAAAUGACCUGCCAUUCAGGGGGAUUUCCCGAACUAAAACAUCUCAGGCUUGAUUAUUUGAUUUACUUGAAGCGGUGGGUGGUGAAAGAAGGGGCCAUGCCUAAGCUCUCAAGUUUAUGGAUUGGGGAGUGUGAAGAAUUGGAAAUGAUUCCAGAUGGGUUGAGAUAUGUAACCACCCUAAAAGAGGUAUCUCUUGUGGACAUGCCUGAAGAAUUCAACAAUAGAAUUAGGGGGGUGAAUGGUCAACAAGGAGAAGAUUAUGAUAAAAUAAGGAAGGUGGCUUCAGUUAAAAUCCUCAGAGAUCUUGAAGAUAUGAUGGGUUAUCAAGUAGAAAUUGUUCGUCCAAGCAACCCUGUUUGACCAAACCCUGGGUCUUGUCUUAAGAAAAUUCUACACUGAAUCUCCUGACUUUCCUUGAUCUCAUCCGAUUCAAAUGUGAGCUGCUGUUAUGGAACUCCAAAUGAUCUGAAACUAGUAGGACAAGAUUGCAAGUGGUUAGAUCUUAGGGAAAGAUACGAAUUUGUUAUUUGAUCCUUCACUUUAGUGUUUGAUUAACAAGGAGAUAAUGUGUGAUCAUUUUUAGCUUUUGGUUUGGUUAGUCUCACUUUGUUUAGCUGCUCAAACUUUUCUUGUGCUCACAAGCUGUUGGCAUAGAGCUAGAUUCGGAGCAAGAUUCGGCAAUGUAGUUGGGAGGAGGCCAUCUAUGUUCUUGUGUUCUUAAGACUAGCAGAAAUAUACUGUGCUUGCGCACGGUGAAGAAUGGAUGUAAUGCCCACAAUGAGCAUUAUAGUGUAUGAAUUUAAUAAAGUACCAGAAUUGAUAUUUGCAGUA